GAAUAGAAGCGCAGGGGUUGGCAGACAAAGGGGGUGCAGGAUGAAGGGAGAGAGGUAGCUCAGAGUUGGGAUGAGCUUCAGGAUUGUGCCUGGCAGAAGUGGGGCGGGGGAGUUGGGCACUGGAACAGAGAAGCUCUCAGGCAUGAGCAAGCAGUGUUAGUUCUGCAUUGUCCUUAGCAAAUCAGUGGCCCCUGUAGAGUUGCUGGCCUCUUCCCUUCUGAGACAUGCAAUGUGCUCAACAGAUAGUAUGGUAAUCUUUGAGGCCAGCCCAACCCUUCAGAAGUCAGGACUUAGCCUCCCACACACACAUGUCAUCUGAUGGGGUUCUUUAUAUGUGUCCUCUGAGUCCUGAGUCUGUAGGAUGCUCUUGGGUAAUGUCUGAAAGCAUUUUUUUUUAGCCAUAAGAGGGUUUGGUUUGGUUUUAAUUAAAACUGGGAGUCUCUUCUAGUCACCUGCCUUCAGGAGCUGGGGCUAAGGAAAAAACACCAAAUAUGUUGAGAAUUGGUAACACUGAAGUCAGCCCUCCUAGACGCCUUGUCAGGGACAAGGUAAGUUGCUUCUUGUGUUUUACAGAGGGACAAAUGUAUUCUAGCCUUUUCAGGACAGGAGCUGUGCCUUGUUGUUGCUGUGUACAGCACUGAGCUCACAGUGACUUGCAUAACAAACAGCAGCAAGAUUAAGUGAAUUAUGCAAGGUCACACAGCAAAUUGCUGGCAGCCAGAAGCAGAGACCACAGUAUGGAGUCCCUGUCUUUACUGUGCCUCUGACAUAUCCUCUCCCUAUUUAUCUUGAUGACUGUUAAACUUUCUGUCCAUAGUAGGGAUCCACAACUAGACGUCUGAAGUUAUCUUAUCUUCAAGAAAUAGUAUCUAUUGCAGAUUUUUUAAAUACAAAGCAUUGUAAAUUUGUUGAGCAUUACUAUGGUGAACUAGUGUAUAUAUUGUAACUAACAGUUUUCUUGUUUUUUGCAGUACUUAAUUUUUCUUAUCAAAAGAAUUCCAUACAGGACCAAUGCAAAAAUAUGUCCAGUUUUACUAUAGAUAUGAGAAAUUCCAGUUUAAGAGUGGCCAUAUUUAAAUUGGUAGUUAUUUUGUGAACACAGUACUAACACCUGUCUCGUCAGUCAAAUACAAUAUAUGCUGACAAAAUUUCUGUCCCUUCGUAACAUCUGUAUGGUUAUAUAACCUACAUGCUUUAUACUGUAGCACUGUUUUUUUUUUAAAUACAUGCAUAUGCACCUCCCAAUAAGAGUAAAGCCAUGAGGAAGACAUGCAAAUUUUAGGAGUCUUCUGGCUUUGUAUAUGUGCAGAGGGUGGGGGCAAUGGAAGCCUAAAUAUAUACGUAAAUAGGAUAUAAGAGUUUCUGAAGAUGUAUAGGAGAUCCUCAUAAUUCCCUGAAAGGCCUUUUGCAGUGCUGCAUAUUCACAGGUCUCCUGUCCCAACCUUGAGGAGAGGGACUGUGGUUCCCGGCAGCUGCGGUAAGAAAGUAUUAUUCACCUUAUGCAGUAACAUCUGUUCUUCGAGAUGUGCUCCACUACAGGGUUUGCUAGCAGUAGCUCCUGGUGCACCGCGCAUGCACAGAAGCCACCUUGCACCGUUUGUGCCCUUUCUGUGUUGCGCGGUCCGUCCCGCUAGUUCCUCCUAGCCGGAACAUCUGAAAGAUACAAAUACAACAGUUCUGAAGCAGGGAGGAGGGUGGGUUGUGCAGCACCCAUGGGGACACACAUCUCGAAGAACAGAUGUUACUGCACAAGGUGAGUAACACUUUCUUCUUCUUCGAGUAGUGUCCCCGUGGGUGCUCCACUACAGGUGAGUAUGAAGCAAUAGCCCAGCGUUCAUAUCGUGCUUUGGAAUUAUCAUCUGUGUACAGAGGAAAGCACUGCUUGAGCCACUGCCACAUCUGUAGCCAUGAUACAAUCAAGGGCAUAGUGCCUAGCGAUGUGGAAGACCAGGUAGCGGCGUGGCAUAUAUCGCGUAGGGGAACAUCUUUGAGGAAAGCCAUAGAGGUGGCCAUACCCCUGGUCGAAUGCGCCUUUGGUCUACAGGGCAACGGUUUGUUACGAAGAGCGUAACAGCGAGCGAUGCAGUUCAUGAUAUGAGAUGAGAUGCGCUGUGAAGACAAUUGCUGGCCUUUGGAGCGGGUCGCCACUGACAGCAAGAGAUGCUGUGACUUUCGGAAGGAGCGCGUCCUGUCCAGGUAGAAGGCAAGUGCUCUCCUGAUUUCCAGGGUGUGUAAACAGGCGUCCUCUGCAGUGGAAUGCAGCUUCAGGUAGAAGGUGGGAAAAGUAAUAGGUUCAUUGAAGUGGAACAACGAAUUAACCUUUGGCAGAAAAGCUGGGUAGCUACAUAAUAUCACACCCCAUUCGGUAAACAAUGUAUAUGGAGGGUGAGCCGAAAGCGCUGACAACUCACUGACGCGGCGGGCCUAAGUGAUGGCGAGCAGAAGUGCAACUUUCAUAGUGAGAGUCUGUAGGUCGCAAGUCUCUAGCAGCUCAAAUGGUGGACGGGUAAGGGUAUCCAGUACGAGGCCUAGGUCCCAGGAUUCCGGGAUGGGGUCAGGUGGAGGAUAGAAGUUUGCAAUGCCAUUCAAGAACCUCUUAGUGAGUGGAUGCGCGAACACUGAGGUGUCGUCUAUGGGAAGGCGGAAGGCAGAAAUCGCCACUAAGUGUACCUUAAGCGAAGAGAUUGCCAAGUUUUGUGACCUUAGGUGAAGAAUGUAAUCCAGAAUGUGUUGGAGGGGCACUAUUAGAGGAUCUGCAUUCUUUGACUGACACCAGGCUAGGAAGCGAUGCCAUUUGUAAAGGUAGGAUUUCUGGGUAGUUUGACACCUACUGUGUAUUAGGAACUCCUUGACUGCCUGACAGCACACUAACUCCGGUCCUUGGAGCCAGUUAGGAGCCAAGCUGUGAGAUGUAGAUCGAUGCUCGGGUGCAGAAGGAUGCCGUGCUGUUGUGAGAGGAAAUUGUGCAACUGUGGUAGUCGCCGAGGUUGGGAUAAGGACAUCCGCAUGAGUUGUGGCAACCAAGUCUGUCAGGGCCAAAAGGGUGCUACCAAUAUCAUUGUUGCCCCAUCUGCGACAAUCUUCCCUAUCACCUGUGGUAUAAGUGGGAUUGGGGGGGGAAGGCAUACAGGAGGCGGUGUAUUCCCCAAUCGAGGAGGAAGGCAUCCCCCUGCGAUGCGCUGCCUAUGCCUGCCCUUGAGCAGUAGGGGCGACACUUCUUGUUGUGUCAAGUCGCAAAAGGUCCAUGUCGGGGUAGCCUCAGGUCUCGAAAAGGCUGCAGGCUACUGCGUCAAGCAGCUCCCAUUCAUGCUGCAAAUGAAAGGUUCUGCUCAGAGCAUUGGCAAUGGUAUUGCUCUUGCCUGGGAGAUAUGUCACCGUGAGUGUAAUUCCAUGGUGGGUUGCCCAAUUCCAGAGGCGAAUAGACUCUGCGCAGAGGAAUUGGGAUCUGGUGCCCCCCUCCUGGUUGAUACAGUAGACUGUGCAGAUGUUGUUGGUAAGAAUUUGUACCGUGGUUCUCUGUAUCUCAUGGAGGAAAUGCCUGCAGGUAUUGAACACCUCCUGUAACUCCAGAAAGUUUAUGUGAAGGAGGGACUCGUGAUGUGACCAUAUCCCUUGGACCUGGUGAUGCUGCAUAUGUGCUUCCCAGCCAACCAGCGAUGCAUCUGUGUUGAUCUGGACGGAUGGGGCUUGAGCGUGAAAGGGGACGCCUGCCAAUGUAUUGCUCAGAUCGAACCACCAGGCCAGGUCGUCCCUCACCCAAUUGGGGACAACCACAAGUUUGCGGGUAUCGUUGAUGCCUGGCUUGUAGAUCACGAGCAGCCAAUGCUGAAGGCAUCUCAGGUGAAGUCAUGCAUGUAGAAUGAUGUAUAUUACGGCUGCUAUGUGCCCCCAUAGUUUCAGGUAUGUAAGUAUGGAGGCUUUGGGAGCGGUGAGCAGGAUAUUUGUUAAGUCCUGGAUAGUCUAGGAUCUGUUGAGCGGUAGGUACGCAGUAGCAGUCUUGGAGUCCAGUCUUGCUCCAAUGAACUCGAGUGACUGGGACGAGAUCAAGGAAGACUUCAGUAUGUUGAUGAGGCCCAGAGCCUCUAAUGUGUCUCUGGUUGCAUUGACUGCAGGUUGGGCCCCGUCUGCUGUGCGGGCCCUCAACAAACAGUUGUUCAGGUAAGGAAAAAUUUUGAUGCCGAAAUGGCGGAGGUGGGUGGCUAUGGCAGCUAAGUUCUUAGAGAAAACUCUCGGUGCUGCCGAAAGGCCAAACGGGAGCACUGUGUAUUGAUAAUGAUCGUCGCCCAGUGUGAAAUGUAGAAACCUCCUGUGGGCUGGGUGCACGGACACGUGAAAAUACACAUCCUGGAGGUCGAGGGACGCGAACCACUCCCCUUCGUUCAAAGUUGGAACGAUAGAGGCUAAAGUAACCAUCUUGAAUUUUUGUUUUCUUAGAUGACAAUUGAGUUUGUGGAGAUCCAGGAUAGACCUCCAUCCUCCGGACUUCUUUAGUGUGAGGAAGUACCACGAAUAGAAGCCCCUGCCUCUGAAUUCAUAUGAAACCCUCUCCACCGCUCUGAUGGGUCCAACUUUCCUGCAUCUGACGGACGGUGUGUAGAUCCCCAGCGUCCUCAGGGUAGUUCAGGAGUCCUUCCCGGAAUGGAAUAUCUGGUCGGCGUUCUGUGCGAAUAAGGACCGUCGAUCAUAAGUCAUCUACAGGGGAAGAGUUGUCAUUGAAAACUGCAUCGUCUGGUGAGGAAGAUGAUAGAUCACUUGGAGAGUCCACCUGCUGUUGCUCAAUGGGCGGAGGUAAGAGCUCGUCCCAACUCCAUCUGUGACCGUGGAUGGUUAGGAGGAAUUGACAGGACGGACCGUGUGAUGCAGAAAGGGCGCAAGGCAGCUUCUGCACAUGCUUGCUCCACCGGGAGCUACUGCUAGCAAAACUCUCUGGACUGUACCCUGAUGAGGUUCAACAAGGACAAGUGCAGAGUCCUGUACUUGGGACGCAAGAAUCCCAAGCGUUGUUACAGGCUGGGGACCAACCAGCUGUUCCAGGAGCUUGUCCACCUGGGGCAUAAGGUACAUGUCAAACCUGGAGAUUGCAUUCACCUUUCGGAAGUCUAUGCAGAAUCGGACUGUCUCGUCUGACUUGGGGACGAGUACUAUUGGGCUUCUCCACUCACGUCUGGACUCCUCGACAACUUCCAUGUUGUCAGGAAGUCAGGGUUCAAAGACAGAAUUGCCAUGCUGGGAUGAAAAACUGACCAGGAUUAAGAGAUAAGUACGGGGCCCUAUCUGAUAUUCACCCUAUCCCCUUUGUGCUGUCCUGCAGGUGAAUUUGCCCUGAUUACUCACAGAAUUCAUGAAAGCAUGUAGGCUUCCUUCAAAAUUAACUUGAUGGUUCCCUAAUAUAUCCCUACGACAGUCAAAUAAACAGUCAUCUAGGCCAGGCAACCAGAGUUUACCAGAGAACAAGUUAAUGGCCCCUGCUCUCUUCUCAGCUCAGAGGAGAGUGAGAGAGCAAGCCCUUAACUAUUGCAUCACACUCAUUAUUAUUAUCUCAUGUUGCUAAGCAACAGCCAAUGUUAUUCCCACCUUUUUAUACUCUCUUCC